rnacentral:rRNA from 1 species
CACGUAGGGUGCAAGCGUUGUCCGGAAUUAUUGGGCGUAAAGAGCGUGUAGGCGGUCCGGUAAGUCCGCUGUGAAAGUCGGGGGCUCAACCCUCGAAUGCCGGUGGAUACUGUCGGGCUAGAGUGCGGAAGAGGCGAGUGGAAUUCCUGGUGUAGCGGUGAAAUGCGCAGAUAUCAGGAGGAACACCUAUUGCGAAGGCAGCUCGCUGGGACGUUACUGACGCUGAGACGCGAAAGCGUGGGGAGCAAACAGG